AGGGAGCUAGUCCAAGAUAAGACUUCUGAUUUCGGCUCAGAAAACCGCGGUUUAAUUCCACGACUCCCUU
rnacentral:tRNA from 2 species